rnacentral:rRNA from 1 species
UACGUAGGGGGGCGAGCGUUGUCCGAAGUUACUGGGCGUAAAAGCGCGCGUAGGCGGGUUCUAAGUGAGGGGUGAAAGGUUUGGGCUCAACCCAAACACUGCCUUUCAUACUGGGAGCCUUGAGUAUGGGGAGAGGCGAGUGGAAUGGUCGGUGUAGCGGUGAAAUGCGUAGAUAUCGAUCGGAACACCCAUGGCGAAGGCAGCUCGCUGGCCUAAAAACUGACGCUGAGGCGCGAAAAGCGUGGGGAGCAAACAGG